rnacentral:rRNA from 1 species
GACGAACGCUGGCGGCGGGCUUAACACAUGCAAGUCGAACGGAAAGGCCCCUUUGGGGGUACUCGAGUGGCGAACGGGUGAGUAACACGUGAGUAACCUGCCCUUGACUUCGGGAUAACUUCAGGAAACUGGGGCUAAUACCGGAUAGGAAUCCUUGCUGCAUGGUGGGGGUUGGAAAGCUUCGGCGGUUUUGGAUGGACUCGCGGCUUAUCAGCUUGUUGGUGGGGUAGUGGCUUACCAAGGCUUUGACGGGUAGCCGGCCUGAGAGGGCGACCGGCCACAUUGGGACUGAGAUACGGCCCAGACUCCUACGGGAGGAAGCAGUGGGGAAUAUUGCACAAUGGGCGGAAGCCUGAUGCAGCAACGCCGCGUGCGGGAUGACGGCCUUCGGGUUGUAAACCGCUUUCAGCAGGGGCGAAGCUUGUGGUGACGGUACCUGCAGAAGAAGCACCGGCUAACUACGUG